ACUUUACAAUGCUGGCAACAGCGAUAAGGGAACCUCGAGUGCCAGGUUACAAAUCUGGCUGUCGAGAUGCCUAAAAAGCAUUUCAUAGCAAGGGCCGGGCAAGACCGGUGCCAGCCGCCGCGGUAACACCGGCGGCUCGAGUGGUAACCGUUAUUAUUGGGUCUAAAGGGUCUGUAGCCGGCCGGAUAAGUCUCUUGAGAAAUCUGGCAGCUUAACUGUCAGGCUUUCAGGAGAUACUGUCUGGCUCGAGGCCGGGAGAGGUGAGAGGUACUUCAGGGGUAGGGGUGAAAUCUUGUAAUCCUUGAAGGACCACCAGUGGCGAAGGCGUCUCACCAGAACGGACCUGACGGCAAGGGACGAAAGCUAGGGGCACGAACCGGAUUAGAUACCCGGGUAGUCCUAGCCGUAAACGAUACUCGCUAGGUGUCGGCCACGGUGCGACCGUUGUCGGUGCCG
rnacentral:rRNA from 1 species